GACGAACGCUGGCGGCGUGCUUAACACAUGCCAGUCGAACGGAAAGGCCCUGCUUUUGUGGGGUGCUCGAGUGGCGAACGGGUGAGUAACACGUGAGUAACCUGCCCUUGACUUUGGGAUAACUUCAGGAAACUGGGGCUAAUACCGGAUAGGAGCUCCUGCUGCAUGGUGGGGGUUGGAAAGUUUCGGCGGUUGGGGAUGGACUCGCGGCUUAUCAGCUUGUUGGUGGGGUAGUGGCUUACCAAGGCUUUGACGGGUAGCUGGCCUGAGAGGGUGACCGGCCACAUUGGGACUGAGGUACGGCCCAGACGCCUACGGGAGGCAGCAGGGGGGAAUAUUGCACAAUGGGCGGAAGCCUGAUGCAGCAACGCCGCGUGCGGGAUGACGGCCUUCGGGUUGGAAACCGCUUUCGCCUGUGACGAAGCGUGAGUGACGGUAAUGGGUAAAGAAGCACCGGCUAACUACGUG
rnacentral:rRNA from 1 species